UACGUAGGGUGCAAGCGUUGUCCGGAAUUAUUGGGCGUAAAGAGCUCGUAGGCGGUUUACCAAGUCAGGCGUGAAAGGCCUGGGCUCAACCCGGGAACUGCGCUUGAUACUUGUAGACUUGAGUCCGGGAGAGGAUGGCGGAAUUCCCAGUGUAGAGGUGAAGUUCGUAGAUAUUGGGAAGAACACCGGUGGCGAAGGCGGCCAUCUGGACCGGAACUGACGCUGAGGCGCGAAAGCGUGGGGAGCAAACAGG
rnacentral:rRNA from 1 species